CAUCGUGAUCGUAAUCUAUCUAUCUAUAUCUAUAUCUAUAUUUAUACCUAUACCUAUACCUAUACCUACCUAUACUAAUCACAGACUCCCCAAAAAUUACCACGUUAAUCAGAAUUUAGAAGCCGUUUAUCUUAUGUGGGACCGAGUUAUCACGGUGUAGAUCUUUCGCUAACUCCCUUAAACAGAAAUUCCAGAAAAAAAAAGUGAGCCGUCGCUCUACCUCUCUCCCAAUCUCACAAUUCUCUCCUUAUAGGUCAAAACUAGGUUAUAUGCACUAAAAACAAAACUAGGCGUCUUUUUCCCCCGUAGCCUCUCUGUCUUCUAGCCGCCACCGCUGCAUCAUCUGAUUCCGGCCGCCGUCUCGACCUUCUGCCUCCGCAAGCCUCCUCGGCAAACCGUAGUUGCGGUUCCGACCGCCGCCUUGACCUUUUGCCUCCACAAACGCCUCCUCGGCGAACCCUAGCUGCAGUUCCAGCCGCCGCCUCAACCUUCUGUCUCCGCCAACGCCUCCUCGACGAACCCUAGCGGCAGCUCCAUCCUCUAGUGUGGAAAUCCAGCGGUCAUUGGGAUCGUCUUCGUGGCUCCUCCGACCUGCAGCGCGCCCUAUGUGUGGUCUCGCUGUCUCCUCAUGCUCCCGUUGGGCUUGGUUACGGCUUAAAUUUCCUAGGUACAUAUGCCAUGGUUCUGGUGGGAGGAAUAGCCUAUGUUUAAUGAGGCAUUCUAGCGUUAGUGCUAAAAUAUGAUGCAAAUUGUACUUGCUUAGUAUCUCCCAAAAUUCUUUCAUUAGUACAUCCUCCAUGUGUGCUACAAUUUGGUCUGGUCCGACUGCUACCCAUGUGUCGUGCUGCCUAGAUAUGCUCAUCAGCGAAGCUGUGAAUGCGAAUAAAUCUUCAAUUUACUCUGGGCUCAAUUGAACCCACACUCUGUUGAUUCAGAAUUAUGCAACCUUAAUUCAAUGUUGUUUUUAUCUAUUCUGUGAAUUUUCUGCUCUUAAGCAUGAUUUAUAGUAUAUGGAUCACAUACCCCUUACGCAUCUUUUUUUCCUUGAGUUUUUCAUUCUGUAGGCCAUAUAUGCAGAUAAGGUAAUUUUAUUAUGUCGGAAGAUGAACCAUGUGUAGAUUGUAUAAAAACAAGCAUGAUUUGUUCUCCACUAUUUUGAAAUUUCCCGGUGGCCAUGUCUAGGUACGUUGAUUCCAUGGUAAUGCACAAAUUUUCUGCAAUAUUAUACUUUGGCUGGGUAGUCUAAUCGGAUAAUGCCAAGUCAAUCCUAUGUUUAGACAAAAUUAAGUGGGUGCCUGUUGUGUAAAGGAGCAAUUGGUGCCCGAUUCUUGAAAAGUAGGACAAACAGUAAAUGUACAAAGCAAAAAAAAUGAUCAUAGAAGGGAGGAUUUUGAACCAAAUAUACUAAUAUUAUACAUAGUAUAGCAUCACCCCUUAAUUUCACUUAAAUAGAGGGAUGAAUACCAUUAGUAUUUACUUCUAGCCUUCUAGGGCUACCUCAUAAUUGCAUGCACGUUCUAUGAGCGCAAACACUAUUAUGGACACCUGAAUCCCUCGGUGGCCAUCCUAUCUUAGCUUUCCUUUUUGGAGAUUCUAAUUUAUUCUCCGCACUAUAGUUUCACGUGUCCAGGUUGCUUGGCAUAUAAUUCGAUGUCCAUUCUAUUCAAUUUUGAGAAAAAAAAAAAGAUCUUCUGUUUGAUAGGUGAAUUCGAGUGUGCUAAUUUAAUUUGGCAAUUAGUGAAAACUAAAUUGAGACAUGGUGCAAGUGGGGACAAUGUUUUCUGUUAUCCAAAUAAAUAUUUGAUCAUUGGUACAUUCAUGAUAGGAAACUUACUACAUAUGUUGCAAUUUCAGUCUCCAACCUCCUUCCAAGAGAUCUGCUAAAUAUUAUAACGAAUUGAUGGUGUUUAUGUGUUAUAUACACAAAGUAAAGCGGUAGCAAAACUGUUGAGUUGAGCUAAGUUUGUUUCCAGUAGCACUUUCAAAAAGAUACAAAAUUCUAAGAUAAUUGAACCAUUGAAAUUGUCAUCACGGAUAUUCAGAAGGAAAAAAGGUACUUUCUUGCAUUUUGGCUGAAAGGUAUUCUUGCGAGCAUACCAUGAUACAAGUUUAACACAUGAUUUCUUUACAAUUUCUUUGUUAGCUUGAUGUGGAAUACACUGAGAAAUUAGCAAGUUAUCUCAUACUACCAUGCUAUGAGAACAAACCCUUUAAGUUCAAAACUAUUCACUUAUUUUCGUGUAUUCUGUCAUUCCAAAAAUCUUUUUAAAAUUUAGCUUCCAGCAAGAGCAUGCUGCAAAUUUAGCGCAUUAGCCAAUUGAUAGAAGCUGGAAUAAGAGUGUUAUUUGCUGAUCUCACCUGCAAGAGCCGACAUUUAAUAUUUUCAUCUUAUGAUUGUGAUGUUGUUCAUGGAUAACUGAUUACGCAGCAAUUCUUCAUCGUGUAUUGCUAUGCACUUUGGGCACACUGCAUUUGGAACCUUUUUUCAUAAAUAUGAUUAACAAUUCAACAUGAUGGUAGACAUGAUUUUAUGAUUAGUUAUUAGCAUUGUAAAGUUUUUUCUCUCAUGGUCUGCAGAUUGUCCUAUUUAGUCUACGGAUUAGAAAGCAUACAUUUGUCUAUGUUAGUUCUGAUUAUUUGUAGGUACGAGUAACAUACAUGCGGAUUUUUUUCCAGUCUAAUCUUUACAACUCCGAACGAUUGUCUAUUCUGCUUCUAAUCACGAUGAUGUCAAAAAACAGUGUGCAAAGUGUGCGUGCACUGGGGAAGGAAUAUUAUAACGUAUUUAAUAUACAUGCAUGCUUACACAUCUGAUCUAUGUAUCACGACAAGAUGUGGUCGACUUUGGACAACGUCGCUACUUCUGAUGGAAUAGGUACAUGUUGGACUAGCUCCUUUUGUACGCUCUUACUGUUAAGCUACUAAUUAUUCCAUAGAAUUUCUCUCAUCAUCUGCUAGAUAGAAUUCAUGAAUUGGCGUAAAAGUUAUUUAUGGUUACGUGCAAGAUUAAGGUCUCAACAUGAUGUUUGUAGGCCAGCAUGUAAAUAUGUUCUAUAGUUUUAUAUGAAUCAUUGGUUAUUAUUCAUCAGGUUUUCUUUGCGUAUCUACUAAUUCGAUGUUUGCAUGAUUGGUUAUAUUGAAGAAAUGUUACCCAAACAUAUUAAUUUAUUUAAUUAUUUCGAAGAGGGGCUAUCCCCGGCCUCUGCAACAUAUGAUGCACACAUCCAUUUUAUUAAGCAUAAACAUAUUAAUUUAUUGUUGUGGUAUAUUAUUUCGUAUUAUUAUCAGACAAUUAGUAUUAAUAUCACUAGCUCCUGAUGGAUAUAGUUUACAUCAUGAACAUCAGUGCAUCAAGAUAGUAAUGAGUUGGAUGUAUUGUAUUUCAUAGUUUUCUUUUACUUGAUCUCAGCAUGAUCUAAUAAGGAAACUCAUUUAGUCUGACAUGUAAAAUGCAGGAAGGCACAAAAACUCAUAUUUUGCACUUAUAACUUCCCAAAUAUCAGAAGUUUGACAUGUGAAACACUCACAAAAAACUCUCCUGCUAGCACAGAUCAUAUCUUAGCAAAGAACCAGUAGUAACGUCAGCACCAUUUAGUGUGGUGAUGACAUGUAUGUAUCCAUUGAUAUGGUUGACACUAACCGCAGUUAAUUGUUCCUCCACAUUAUAUAUGUACCAAUGUGACUAUAGUUUAAAAUAGAUGAAGUUCGUGAACAUCAUAUUUCAUAUAGGCCUCAUGGCGAUUUACAACAUUUCUAUAUUUAUCGUGUGUUUGGCUGUUAUUUUCUGAAAGAUGGUAGAAUUGUCUAUCAGAUCUUUCUCUUUCUAUCAAUGAUACAUGAUUUGGUUGAUUGUUUGACUAAAGGAUUUAUAGGGAAAAAAUGAUUUAAGGUGGGGCCUGUCAUUCGUUCCAAAUUGUAUAACUUGGUAUCUUCCAGUGAAUGGAUAAUGAAACAACAGAUGUAAGAAUACAAAUGCGUAUAUAUAAGCAUAAUUUUUGAAUUUAUAUUUGAGCUCAUAGGUUAUUACUUAUCUUGAUAUAUGCCUGAAUUGGUGCUAUGCCGGUAAAAUUUGAUGUAAAUUUCUAUUCCCUUCUAUUCACUGAGGGGCUUACUAGGUAGGUCAUUAAUUUGAAAUAUGCCUUGGGUUAAGCAUUCAAAUUGUGUUUGUUUGUAGGUUCAUCGAUGGUAGCAGUGUGAAAAUAAUAGUUGAAAAUAACUACUCCAUUUUAGAUGUCAUUGCAGUUCAAACGAUUUAGUCCGCACUAACAUGGAGAAUAGUUAGGCCUCAAAUUUAAUUGCGGAAGUAACUACAUGUGCUUCACGGGCCUUAGUGUCAUUUCAUAUUUGGGACGGCAAUUUCAGGCCAGCUGCUCCUUCUAUGAGGUUUAUCAUAAGAAAAGUAUGCCGAUUGGAUGUACCACCUCCUUUUGGGUUUACGAGACACACAUGUAUUUUGAGUUCAAGUAUUACCAUAGACUAGACAAGUAGUAUAGGUUACCAUCGACUGUACAAGCAGUAUAUGACCCAAUAAAAUUGGGUAAAAGUUACUUUAUAUCCCAUAAAUCAUUUGCAUUCAUAAAAAAUAGGCAUGUUCUGCAGAAAAAUAAUUGACCUCUACAACUAUUCGAAGGAUAAUAUUCUUCUUACAAAGUAUCGCUCUAUUGUUAUUGAAUUUUAUCGUCGACGUGUUUAUUCGAUUCUCACUUUUCCUUUAUUAAUUUAUAUUUUUACAAUGGCCAACCAAUGCUGCUAAAAUUUUUGUUCAAGUUUUUCAACAAAAUGGAGGUACCCUGGCUUGAUCAUUGGCAACUCCAGGGAAGAAAUACUCCCAUGAAAGAUCGUUUCCCCCGACCGCACCCUUUCGUGUUGGAUGACAUGCUUACUGUCAAAGCCUCGAUGAUCUACCAUCCAUGGUCAGUAACCUGCACCACCCUCUCUCCACUGAAGCCCAUCAUGAGUUGAUUCAAUUGGAGUCCAUUCUGUCAUUGAUAUCUAUCAAUGCUAAGGGCAAGGACAUUUUCCACUGACCAACCAAAACUGGUGAAUUUUGAUCCAAGGUAUAUUAUAACUUUGCUCAUAGCCACAUUACUGUGGAUCCAAUUGUUAAGUGUAUAUGGAAGUGUUCAUGCACGCUCAAGAUCAAAGUCUUUGGUUGGCUACUACUGGUGGAUAGGCUUAACACAAGAGAUAUGAUGCAAAGCCUACAUUGGACUCUGCAAGAUGAUACUUGUGUUCUUUGCCAGACUCUCACACAUGAGGAUCGAGCACAUAUGUUCUUUGUUUUUAACUUCGGCCAGUUGGAAAUAUCUUGGGAUUACUUGGGCAUCACAACCAAAUCAAUCAACCUAUUUGAUGGCGGCAGUAGCAAGGAAGGGUUUUCAUAGACCCUUCUUUAUUGAGGUGGUUUUUACUGCCACUUGUAACAUCUGGACUCGGAGGAACGGCAAAAUCUUCAAAAAUGAGAGGCCAAGUUUUGGGGCUUGGACAAGAAACUUUGUACAUUAUCUGUCUCUGUUAGCUCAUAGAAACAAAUGUAAAUAUAGGGAUAGCCUUCUAUCUUGGAUCUCUUCUCUUCCAUAGUUAGGUUUUUGUAAGUAUCACACACCUCCCUUCUUCUCUCUGUAUGUAUUGUAGACUCUUUUUGUGCGGCUCUUGCCUUGCAGCACAUAGUAAAAAAAAUGGGAAUCUUCUAAGAUGACAUUGCUAUAAUGAAUACUGUACUAUUCAAUUUAAUGACCUCAUGAUGGUCAUGCUAUUUCACCCA